GGCGAGAAAAUGAUGGAGGCGGGGAGAAUGCUAAUCACACCGCCUUGAGAACUGGGGCGGGAAUCCCGGGCCUGAAGUCCCACUGAGUUUGCCGCACGCGCUCGCCUGCUGCACGGUACUAGCUACGAAGCUCUCCUUUCAGGGCCCCACUUCGGCUCCUCUUGCAUCCUAGCCCUUAAAGGUCAGCGCUUGUGUAAAUAGAACUGCAGUGCCACCUGUCUCCCUUCUGCGCGCUUGCACUGGGUGACGAAGAGGCAAUACUUAGUCCCUAGUGUAUGCCUAACAGUAAUUAAUCGUCAUUAAUGCAAGACCUGAAGCUCCUACAAUUUCGAGGUGAGGAAACCGAGGUGCAAAGAGAUUAAGUCACCUGCCCACAGGUGUACAGUGAGCAGCUGGCCACCUUCCCUUGCAGGGGUUGUUUUUGCUGUAACUCCACUGUGGACUGAUUUGAAGGGUCUGUGCCAGAUACCCUGUGCUGUUCCACCCUGACAAAGACACCGGCACAAGCAGAGUUCCACAGGACUCAUCUGUCUCCCAUCCUCCACGGUACUUCUCCAGGAACCACUGAUUUAAGCCAUCUUUUGAGCCACCAUCAAAGGACAGAACAGGAAGACAAUUAAGGGAGAUCCAAAUCACCAUGUUCUGAGGGUGGGGAACAAUGAACAAGGUGUUGUCUCCUUCCGUCCUCUGACAUUAUCUUAGCAUAGCUUGGUUUUGAUGGUACCCAAACUUGCUGGAGUUAUCCAGCCAUUCUAGUUUCCUACACUGGAGGCAAAGCUGACCUGUCCUGUGAAUCAGUUCAGACUGGGCUCUGAUUACAUCGUAUGUCUAGCUGGCGCAGUGAAACAUUAACUCAUUCCUUUUUAUCAUGGACCAGGGCAGGUUUCAUGUGAGGAUGAAGUCCAGUUAUUCCAUGGCUCCAGUGGGUGUGAGGCCUAGCUGGUUUCCUGAGGGUGG
rnacentral:lncRNA from 1 species